rnacentral:rRNA from 1 species
GACGAACGCUGGCGGCGUGCUUAACACAUGCAAGUCGAACGGUGAAGCGCCUUCCUUUUUGGUGGGUGUGGAUGAGUGGCGAACGGGUGAGUAACACGUGAGUAACCUGCCCCCUUCUUCUGGAUAACCACAUGAAAGUGUGGCUAAUACGGGAUAUUCUGGGUCUGUCGCAUGAUGGGUCUGGGAAAGAUAUUGUUUCGGUGGGGGAUGGGCUCGCGGCCUAUCAGCUUGUUGGUGGGGUGAUGGCCUACCAAGGCGGUGACGGGUAGCCGGCCUGAGAGGGUGGACGGUCACACUGGGACUGAGACACGGCCCAGCCUCCUACGGGAGGCAGCAGUGGGGAUUAUUGCACAGUGGGCGCGAGCCUGAUGCAGCGACGCCGCGUGAGGGAUGGAGGCCUUCGGGUUGUGAACCUCUUUCGCCAGUGAAGCAGGCCUGCCUCGUUUGUGGGUGGGUUGACGGUAGCUGGAUAAGAAGCGCCGGCUAACUACGUG